rnacentral:tRNA from 1 species
GGGGAUGUAGCUCAGUUGGUAGAGUGCUUGCCUCGAAUUCACAAGACCCUGAGUUCAGUCCCCAGCACCACCA